rnacentral:rRNA from 1 species
UACGGGGGGUGCGAGCGUUGUCCGGAAUCACUGGGCGUAAAGGGCGCGUAGGUGGUCUGAUAAGGGUGUGGUGAAAGCCCGGGGCUCAACCCCGGGUCGGCCGUGCCGACUGUUAGACUAGAGUGCUGUAGGGGCAGGCGGAAUUCCGGGUGUAGCGGUGGAAUGCGUAGAGAUCGGGAAGAACACCGGUGGCGAAGGCGGGUCUCUGGGCCGAAAUUGACGCUGAGGAGCGAAAGCGUGGGGAGCAAACAGG